GUAACAGCUGUCUACGGAUAGACUAGACUUACAGCUGAAAAAGGAAGAGAACCUUUAAAGAAGGGAGCAGAUGUAUUAAAGAACAGAAGUGCCUUAAUGGCUUUGUUAAGGUUGCCAUGGAAACGACUAACUGAAUUUCAAGUUCUUUGAAGUUAGCCAUCUACACAGCAAAGGGGAAGUCUAGAGGAAGGUGUGUGAGUGAAGAGCACACCUUCACAAAGGGAAAUUUGUGUGCUACUUUUUGGCUUCUCCGUUGAAAAUGCUUCACAGACAGGGCCACCAGCCAAUCCAAACGAGGCGGUUCCUCUCUUCCCAGCCGAGAAGUAAUCGAGGAAUGCUGGCCGUCUCCAUGCUUUCUCCUUUUUGCUCAGUCAGGGACCACAUCAUGGGAUGGUGCUGACCACAUUCAGAAGACACAGGGAGACACUUAAUCCUGUGGAGUCUCAAAUCAGUCUCGUUUGAUGACCAGGGCUUCAGAGAAUGCUGUGGUCAGAAGGCAGCAUCCGUGUACCGGUCGUGAACUACACGUGGUGACUGGAUACUGAGGUUGUGUCCAGUCAAAGC